CCUACGGGGGGCAGCAGUGAGGAAUAUUGGUCAAUGGGCGCGAGCCUGAACCAGCCAAGUCGCGUGAGGGAAGACGGUCCUAUGGAUUGUAAACCUCUUUUGUCGGGGAGCAAAAGACGCCACGCGUGGCGUUCCGAGAGUACCCGAAGCACAAGCAUCGGCUAACUCCGUGCCAGCAGCCGCGGUAAUACGGAGGAUGCGAGGGUUAUCCGGAUUUAUUGGGUUUAAAGGGUGCGCAGGCGGAAGAUCAAGUCAGCGGGAAAAUUGAGAGGCUAAACCGCUUCGAGCCGUUGAAACUGGUUUUCUUGAGUGAGUGAGAGGUAUGCGGAAUGCGUGGUGUAGCGGUGAAAUGCAUAGAUAUCACGCAGAACUCCGAUUGCGAAGGCAGCAUACCGGCGCUCAACUGACGCUCAUGCACGAAAGUGUGGGUAUCGAACAGGAUUAGAUACCCUUGUAGUC
rnacentral:rRNA from 1 species